AUAAUUAAUAUUCUUGUUUAUGAUGUAACACCGAUAGCAAAUAUAUAAAUAUAAUAAAACAAACGAGUUUACUUUUAACAUAUGGAUUGUGUUGGUACACGUAUGCACAGGAAGAAAUUCCGAAACAAUUUUUAAUUCUGAAAUCUCCAUUUCCAUUUGCAGGCCUGGAGAGUUAUUUUAAAGCAAAAGAAGUUGAAUUGAGAUGACGCAAGAAAAGUUGCUGCUGCUGCUGAUAGCUGCUAGCUGCUCUUGAUUCAAGUUUGCACAAGAGUCCACUGAACAAGACACAACAGAAAACUUCCAACACUUGACUCAUUUUUGUACACGAACUUCUCCUUUUUACCCAAACGACACCAUUUUUGGCUUUUGUUUCUCAUUGUCAUAUUCUUAUCUAUCCUUUCUUAUAUCACCUUUGUCUCUUAAUUUCAUCUUUUCCUGUCAAUUCCAUCUUGUCUUCUAUUGCAGGCGCUUCUAUACUAAAUUUAACACACUCAC
rnacentral:lncRNA from 1 species